rnacentral:rRNA from 1 species
GAGUUUGAUCGUGGCUCAGAACGAACGCUGGCGGCAGGCUUAACACAUGCAAGUCGAACGCCCCGCAAGGGGAGUGGCAGACGGGUGAGUAACGCGUGGGAAUCUACCCAGAUCUUCGGAACAACUGAGGGAAACUUCAGCUAAUACCGGAUACGCCCUACGGGGGAAAGAUUUAUCGGUUCUGGAUGAGCCCGCGUUGGAUUAGCUAGUUGGUGAGGUAACGGCUCACCAAGGCGACGAUCCAUAGCUGGUCUGAGAGGAUGAUCAGCCACACUGGGACUGAGACACGGCCCAGACUCCUACGGGAGGCAGCAGUGGGGAAUAUUGGACGAUGGGCGAAAGCCUGAUCCAGCCAUGCCGCGUGAGUGAUGAAGGCCUUAGGGUUGUAAAGCUCUUUCAGUGGGGAAGAUAAUGACGGUACCACAGAAGAAGCCCCGGCUAACUUCGUGCCAGCAGCCGCCGCAGUAAC